CAUGAGAGCAACUGUCCAUAUCACAUGACAGCGACUGUCCAUAUCACAUGAUAGCGACUGUCCAUGAGAGCGACUGUCCAUAUCACAUGACAGCGACUGUCCAUAUCACAUGACAGCGACUGUACAUGAGAGCGACUGUCCAUAUCACAUGACAGCGACUGUCCAUAUCACAUGACAGCGACAGUACAUGAGAGCGACUGUCCAUAUCACAUGACAGCGACUGUCCAUGAGAGCAACUGUCCAUAUCACAUGACAGCGACUGUCCAUAUCACAUGAUAGCGACUGUCCAUGAGAGCGACUGUCCAUAUCACAUGACAGCGACUGUCCAUGAGAGCGACUGUCCAUAUCACAUGACAGUGACUGUCCAUGAGAGCGACUGUCCAUAUCACAUGACAGUGACUGUCCAUAUCACAUGACAUUGACUGUCCAUAUCACAUGACAUUGACUGUCCAUGAGAGCGACUGUCCAU